AACGCAUGUUGCACCGUCCGGCUAUCCGGAAGGUAUACCUGUUUGAGCGUCUUAAUGUUUUUCUCCUCAGGUCCCCUUGAAGACUGUGCCCUUGGGCACCGUCCUCAUGCCUUGAGGGAGUUGGGUGGUUCAGGAAGCCGCCGUCCACCGUAGCAGCAGCCUUGGCUGUCGCUGCCCGACGGCCCUGUCCCCUUAAACGAAAUGAAACCGGUCGCGCAUUGCACAGACGCACGCUGCACGGAUUGGUGAGGUAAAUGUUCCACACGCUACCGUCUACGUCGUCCAGCUUUGCCAGGUUUCGUGCCCUGCUCGCAACGUAAGGUGCACACCAAGGCGCGCGGACACCGCGUCGCCCUACACUCAAGACCUCAAAUCAGGUAAGACUACCCGCUGAACUUAA
rnacentral:misc_RNA from 1 species